rnacentral:lncRNA from 1 species
UCUUGGUCUCGCUGACUUCCGGAGCGAAGCUACAGACCUUUAGGAAAUAUGUAGAAUGAGAAUCUUCCUGUACAAACCCUGGCUGACUGGAUUCAGGUGGAAGUUGAUGAUGAUAAUGAUAAACCUGCUCUCAAACCUCAUCUUAUCAUUCUGCUGUGGCCUGAAGAUAUCACUGAAUUACUCUGGUGAUUCUAGGUAGAUAGCAAUGCUAGGCAUUCAUGUCUGAAGAUUCGUUUCUUUGCAGCAAUGAAUUUCAGAAGAGUUUCGUGUCUUCUUGGCAUCAUAAGUAUAUAAAGGUUGGAGGAAUCAUUGAAUUUUCCUUCAUCUCCUCCAUGCUGCUGCCCACUUCUCACAGAAGGUGGAAGACCAGCCCUUAGAUUGGCUUAACUGCUGACUGCUCUGUGAGAGGCCUCCUGGAAGACUGGUGUCAGACUCAGGUAGGAAUCCAUCUACUGCCAUGUGCAAGAAAAGAAAACUACCUUUUAAUAUGCUCAAAUGCUAAUGCAGAGGAAUAGAGAGGGAA